AUUAUUGUAUGUUGUAUGAGGUUGUCACUAUUUCUAUUUUUAGUGUAGAAGUUGAGAGUAUUGUGUUUAUUUCGUUUAUAGGGUGCCAGUGUUGGAGUUGUGGGCGUCGCUUGCCGUCUCAGAAAUAUAAAUUACAGUUUUUUUCAGUGUUAUUGUCAAAUUGGCGAUUAUCUGAGGUCUAACUUUACUAUUACCGAGGUUGGCAGUUUUGUGACGCCAGUCGGUCAGAGUCUGGUGGACCUUAAAACCAGGGUGACAAGUUGAUAGCAGUAGCAAAGGAUCCUAGGUUUCAGGAGUGAGAUCUCAGUUUUAGGUUACAGGACAGGUUGUUCAUCUCAGGUUUUCUGUCUAAAGUUUUUGUUUCAAGUUUUGGGACUAACUUCGAGUCUGAGGUUCCAGAUUCCAGACGGCGAGUUGCUAUUUCCAGACCUGGUAAUGCUUUGUGUAUUUGUGAGCUUUGGAUGCUACUAUAAACUAUUACUUAUGGAUCGUCGAUGAACAGUAUCCUGGCUGGACUAUUGAACUACGUGUAUUGCCAGUUGUUGUCUUGAAAGAUCGUCACUGUGUGGACAAUAUUAUGGACCUUACCUUAUAAGUUAAGGGACGCAGGCUUGGGACUCUGUUGGAGUCAGGCUAGAUUGGUCGGAUGGCUGUGUUGUGCCUCCAUGGUUUUAGGUUGUGAGCUUCGAGUUGUGACACUGAUAUUAAGGUGUGCUAUGUUAUUUUGAAUAUAACUUAUACUAACCUUGUAAAUGCACUAUUGAUAUUUAUUCAUUAUUUUUGUCUCAUUAUAGGCCCUUUCAUUAAUUCAUUAAACUUUUGUUUGUCAUAUAAAACCUGGUUAUCAAAUAGUAUACCUUGCUAGUUUUUGUAGUUGCUAUUG